ACACAAUAAGUACCCCGCCUGGGGAGUACGGUCGCAAGAUUAAAACUCAAAGGAAUUGACGGGGGCCCGCACAAGCAGCGGAGCAUGUGGUUUAAUUCGAAGCAACGCGAAGAACCUUACCUAGACUUGACAUCUCCUGCAUUACUCUUAAUCGAGGAAGUUCUCCCUUCGGGGAGGACAGGAAGACAGGUGGUGCAUGGUUGUCGUCAGCUCGUGUCGUGAGAUGUUGGGUUAAGUCCCGCAACGAGCGCAACCCUUAUUGUUAGUUGCUACCAUUUAGUUGAGCACUCUAGCAAGACUGCCGUGGUUAACGCGGAGGAAGGUGGGGAUGACGUCAAAUCAUCAUGCCCCUUAUGUCUAGGGCUACACACGUGCUACAAUGGCGAGUACAAAGAGACGCAAAGCCGCGAGGUGGAGCUAAACUUAUAAAACUCGUCUCA
rnacentral:rRNA from 1 species